rnacentral:rRNA from 1 species
UACAGAGGGUGCGAGCGUUAAUCGGAAUUACUGGGCGUAAAGCGUGCGUAGACGGUAGCGUAAGUCAGAUGUGAAAGCCCCGGGCUCAACCUGGGAAUUGCAUUUGAGACUGCUCCGCUCGGGUGCGGAAGAGGGAAGCGGAAUUUCCGGUGUAGCGGUGAAAUGCGUAGAUAUCGGAAGGAACACCAGUGGCGAAAGCGGCUUCCUGGUCCGACACCGACGUUCAGGCACGAAAGCGUGGGGAGCAAACAGG